rnacentral:lncRNA from 1 species
GCUGGUUGUGCAAACUCUGACUAGGUCGAAGCUUCAGUCGGAAUCAGAACAUAAAUCCAACUUAGGGUUAACUGAUCACACUGUCUGAACAGAAAGUCACCAUCAGAACCAAUAGUCACCAACGGUACCUGUAAUGAAUAACCCUUCCCCACUCACGGGUGUAGUCUAGGCCAGGGUAAAGCUGAGAGAAACGCAGCAUAAAUAACCUU